GUGGGGAAUUUUGGACAAUGGGCGCAAGCCUGAUCCAGCCAUGCCGCGUGCAGGAUGAAGGCCUUCGGGUUGUAAACUGCUUUUGUACGGAACGAAAAGACUUCUUCUAAUACAGGAGGUCCAUGACGGUACCGUAAGAAUAAGCACCGGCUAACUACGUGCCAGCAGCCGCGGUAAUACGUAGGGUGCAAGCGUUAAUCGGAAUUACUGGGCGUAAAGCGUGCGCAGGCGGUUUUGUAAGACAGGCGUGAAAUCCCCGGGCUCAACCUGGGAAUUGCGCUUGUGACUGCAAGGCUGGAGUGCGGCAGAGGGGGAUGGAAUUCCGCGUGUAGCAGUGAAAUGCGUAGAUAUGCGGAGGAACACCGAUGGCGAAGGCAAUCCCCUGGGCCUGCACUGACGCUCAUGCACGAAAGCGUGGGGAGCAAACAGGAUUAGAUACCCGAGUAGUCC
rnacentral:rRNA from 1 species